AUUGAACGCUGGCGGCAGGCCUAACACAUGCAAGUCGAGCGGAUGAAGGGAGCUUGCUCCUGGAUUCAGCGGCGGACGGGUGAGUAAUGCCUAGGAAUCUGCCUGGUAGUGGGGGAUAACGUCCGGAAACGGGCGCUAAUACCGCAUACGUCCUGAGGGAGAAAGUGGGGGAUCUUCGGACCUCACGCUAUCAGAUGAGCCUAGGUCGGAUUAGCUAGUUGGUGGGGUAAAGGCCUACCAAGGCGACGAUCCGUAACUGGUCUGAGAGGAUGAUCAGUCACACUGGAAAUGAGACACGGUCCAGACUCCUAGGGGAGGAAGAGGUGGGGAAUAUGGAACAAGGGGGAAAAGCCUAACCCAGCAAGGCGGGGUGGGUAAAAAGGUUCUUGGGAUUAAAAAGCACUUAAGGUGGGGAGGAGGGGAAGAAAUUAAAAACUUGGUUUUUUUAACUUAACAAAAAGAAAAAGACCAGGAAAACUUCGGG
rnacentral:rRNA from 1 species